rnacentral:pre_miRNA from 1 species
AAAGUACUCCCUCCGUCCCAAAAUUCUUUCUUAGAUUUGUCUAGAUACGGAUGUAUCAAGUCACAUUUUAGUAUUAGAUACAUCCGUGUCUAGACAAAUCUAAGACAAGAAAUUUGGGACAGAGGGAGUAGUUG